rnacentral:lncRNA from 1 species
GCUUCUGAAUCAUUCACCUUCACAAUGCUCCCACAGAAGAUUAUGUGGGCGCACAGAGGGUUCUGAGGGUCAUAUCUGUGCUUCUUGCAGUACGGAGUCUGUGCCAAAGACACGGUCAGGGAGGCAUUCGAAUUGACCUCCAAGUCCUGCACGGAGAUCUCCAUGUCGGUCAGGUACAGGUAGGGCACGCCGCUGCCGCCGCCGGGCCCCGGGGCGCCGUCGCUGAUGGAGAAGAUGUUGGCGAAGGGGCGGCCGCGCAGCCCUUCCUGCGCGGAGAGCGUGGCCAGCGCGCCCCAGUCGCAGUUGUGCAGCACGAAGCGCGCCAUGCGGGCCGCCUCCUCGGGCGGAGGAAUGGUCCCGCGGGCCAACGCCGCCAGCGCGGCCGCGCACAGGAACGCCAACAACACCAUGGCGGACCGCCGCUGCCACCGACGACACGGUCUAUCGCAAGCGCCGCGGCGACGGACUACAACCCGGCGCGGGGUGGGGCGCGUCACUCUGCUCUCCGCCAAUCGAAGGCAACCUGCCCGACUCUCAGCCAAUGGGAGAUGACGGGAGGCGGGGCCGAGCGCGUCGGCUGCCGGAGGUGGUAAACAACUCUGACAGACCUGGCUCGCCGUCGGGAGGAGCGGGAAGGGGGGCGGGGACACGGUGAUCCAGCAGCCAAUGAAAGGCCUCGACGGAGCUCUCUGCCAAUCACAUUUCACGAGGGGCAGAGGGGCGCCUCGCUCCCCUUCAACCUCACCGAGUGUGUUUACACUGCCUAUGUGGCAGCGGGUUGUAGAGAAGCCUACGCUGACCGAAUGCCACCGUUACCGGGUUUGCGGGAGCAUAAGCUGAGAUCAGCAGCAAAAAUGACAAGUUUCUCUACUUCAAAUAUUUAUUUCGUGCAAGUCCGAGAAAUAUUCUCCAGCGCCGUUCUGCAGCACCUUGCAGCAUGCCUGGUGCAGAUGGAGGAAUAGAGCAGGAGUGCAACAAAGCAUGAAGCGUGCCACACCCGGCCUUCUCGGCUCUUUUCCACAUUCAAGUCUCUGACAGAGCUCGAUGGGUCGGUUGCUGGCUCAAGAUCCAGCUGUAUGCAAAGCUGAACUGACAGCUAAAAUCAUCCAGGUAACAGUGCCAAGAGUAGAAUACUCUGCGCUGACGGCAUCUGCCAAAGAACAGCCUUAUGGAAAAGAAAGGGUGAGCCCUCCUGUGAAGACUGCAAAAGCCUUUUCUCCAAGAGUUCUAUUUGCAAUAGGAUCACCUCAACAUCCCAAAGCCCUUCUAGCCAAACCCCAAAAGCCACAUUGAAACAGGCAGACUUUCCAUCUCCCAGAAUUGGAUAUGCCAAGAGUUUUCCUUUAGCUUUACUCAUACGAAUGGAUGGUGUUACAUUACAAAGAUGAGUCCCACGUGCCUGUUCUGGAGUCCUUUUUGUCUGAUAAAUGCUCAGGUCCAGACCGUAAUGGUUUCCAAGCCUUCAGCUGGCGCAGGUCACACGCUUACAAGAGGCCCUUCAGGGCUGGGCAGGUCACACGCUUACAAGAGGCCCUUCAGGGCUGCAACCAAGGCUUCUUUCUCACCAUGCAUGCUUCUCAUGUGACAUCUGUCCCCGAGUGCCUCUUCAUACGGCACGUGUGUAACCAGGCACCAGCUGAGGCUGUGGGCACGUGAGAGGGAUCCGGCUGUGGGCUGCCAGGCCAAUGAACCGAAAGGCCUGUGGGAGUGACGGUGUAUGCCACAGGAGUCAUUCGUUGGGCUGAACUCGGGCAAGACUUGAAGAAAAAUAAACCGCGGAUCCAUUUGUACACUGUCCUGUAGCUGUGUAAAGGCAGAAUAAAACUGUUUUUCCUUUAGUAUUCCUCUCACUUCCAGGGAGCAGGUGGUGGCAUCCCUCUGGGGAAGGAGAAACGCUGAAACACAAAGCUUUCCACUGCUGCCCUCUCCUGGCAAUGCUCGGGAGAAACCUGCUCUGUUGUAGCACAUGCCUCUUAUUUGGAGCAAGUUCUAUCCCAGGGCAAAGCGCUGAAGAGAAAACACGACAAGAAGAGAAGUUAGUGUGAGAGAAAAGAAGGCUGCUUGAAAGGAUGCUAGAUAGGAUUGUGGGAAGGGAUGCUUUUAUGUAGAUAGGAGUGUGGGCCACAUUUGGAGGAGGGCCGGGAGUGAAAUGUGUUGAAAAAGACUGCAACUGUUCUGCAGAAGUGAAAAUAGUGUGGAAAAGAGGGACCAAAAUGAUCUAGAGUUCCUAAUCUGUUUAGUUUAGGAUUUAAGAUGAGGAACACAUACUGCAACAAGCUCUUUUUGUUAGAGAUUUUGCUUGCUGAAGUAUAGAUAUUGCUUCCUCUUUUUCCACCAACGUGUAUGCAUGCAAGCACUCUUCUUUUUCACAGCAGUUCUGCCUUCUGAGAACCAGAGGGAAGGGUUCAUCUUUCCCCCUCUGCAGAUAAAUGGACAAGUGGCAGGGGAGGGUGGGGGGUUGAGGAUGGGUGCCUGGCUGAUUUUGCUGGGGAACAGAACAGCGUCAUAGGGAGCAAAUGGGAGGUGGUUGGUGGAGUCAGUACAGGAAAGAAGGGAUGUCACAGAAGUGAAAAAGGACAGAAAGGAAAGGAGAUAAUGGAGAUGAUGGAAGGAGGUGGGGGUUUUUUGUUUGUUUGUUGGAAGCUUAUAUGUUACAGAGUUUACAUUUAUUAGCACAAUGUAUUUGCCAAAUGUGGUUAUCUGUUCUUCAGCAGAAGAGUGUACAUUACCGGAGGUGUUCCCCAGACAGUAUCACUGCACAUGCAAGCUUUUCCUCUGCUUCCUCUCCCACUGCAGCCCUGCAGUGUCCUGCAGCCCUCCCUGUGAGCAGCCACCAUGGGGUGCUGCUGCCCAG